CUAGAAUGUUCACUGAGUUUCGAUGCCUUAAAGGGACCAGGCCUCGGAUCGUGAAAGAUGUGGGGCAGUGACCCCGCUCACCCACCUGUAGAGUCGGAGCCCGUUUUAUAUACCUUUGACCGGAGAGAAGGCUAAUGUUGCCUGUGGACGUUCCCGGAGGCCGGAACCCCGUCCCGUUCUUCGCCAUUGAGCUCGAUCACAAUCUCACUGGGGACUAACAGUCCACUGAGGUGUGUGGCAGGUUUGUUCGUAAUCCUCCCUCGGCUCUUUUUAACUCUCUCUUCUCUCUGAGGUGGUGGUUAUUGUCCCCAUUUUACGGAUGAGGGAGGAAAUCCGGGCACAGGAUUAAGCAUGUUUCCCUAGGUUACACAGCUUAAGGAACAGCAACCUGAAAGUCACUCCCAAGUCAGCUGGACUCCAAGUCAGUGUUUUUGGUGAUGAAGGUGGGCUGUGAUACGUAUGUUUUAUUCUGGGUGUACUGAGUCCUGGAGAGUAGUUUUUCCCUUUAAAGCAAUUCCAGUGCCCCUGAACAGGUAACCCACAAGUAACCCCAGCCUGCGGAUACAGGAGGGCGAGACCUCAGGGCCUGACCCGGAUGAGGGUAGGUGAGUGAAGAGGCGCUUCCUCUCGGGUGUCCGUCCUGUACUUGCGGGGCCCUGAGAGCGGGCACCUCCUUGAGGUUUGCACUCUAGGCACCUCACUCACCACACCUGCGUCCCAGCCCUGCCACGCCUACCCUUGGCUCGUUUUUCUCUCUGGAAACUAGAGAGGGCAUCCCGCUUAAUGCGUCCUGGUCUGGCACGCCAGCGUCCGGUUCUGCCCCAGUGCUGAAGAAAUACCUUGUUUCUCUUGCAUCAUAAUCUCCUCUCUGUAAAGCAGCGAUUUCCUACUGAAACAGCAUCGUCAUGCCAAGACGAAAUGAGACAAGAGCUUCGUACAGUUUUGAGCAAAACGCUGCGCCUGUAUACUGGAAGUGGAGGCGGGCGGCGAGCGCUGUCACUGGUCUCUUCCGACGGUCGUUACUGGUCGUUGGCUGAGCGUCACAAGCCCAUCCUCAGGGCACACCUGCCAGGUCUGUCAGGGGUACCUUCCUCCCCCGGCUCACCCCCCAGAGACGUUUAGAACUGACCCCUCUCCCCUCAUACCCAGUCUCCCCCCACCACCCAGCUCUCUUCUUUGAGUGCCCUGCUCCUGGCCCCUCCAUCAGGCUGAUGAAGUCACUGCCCACUGCUCUUCCUGUUCUCCGGGUUUUCUGGCGCCUCUGACCGAACACCUUGUGUGUCUCCCAUGGCAGCCUUGGGAGAAGAUGGAGAAAACCUCAGGCAGCCUCAGCUGUGGCCAGCGGCUCUCCCUCUGUACUGGGGCUGGACACGCAGAUGUGGAAGCUUAGAGCGGUUCACGCCUCUGUUAGGAGUCUCAGGUGAAACGGUGAACAUAAAUGUCCAUGGGGACCUUCCGGACCCAGGGAUCACACCUGGGUCUCCCGCACUGCAGGCAGAUUCUUUACCAUCGGAGCCAACUUAGGCGCGAUUCCCAGUGGAAUGAGAACAACAGUAAGGUGAUGAUACUCCUCUGUAUGUAGAGUUCAGUCCAUCCUGGGGUCACAGAGACUUGGGCUGGAGUCUGAGCCCCACCACAAUCAGCUCUGCAACUUUGGGAAAGUCCUUAACCCCUCUGACCUCAGUUUCUCUAACUCCACAGGAUUGUGUUGUCUUCCUCAGAGCAUUUGGAAAAUUA